rnacentral:tRNA from 1 species
GCGGAUAUAGUUUAGUGGUAAAACUUCAGCUUCCCAAGCUGGCUAUGGGGGUUCGAUUCCCCUUAUCCGCUCCA